UAGUCCACGCCGUAAACGAUGGAUACUAGCUGUUGGACUUUCGGGUUCAGUGGCUAAGCGAAAGUGAUAAGUAUCCCACCUGGGGAGUACGUUCGCAAGAAUGAAACUCAAAGGAAUUGACGGGGGCCCGCACAAGCGGUGGAGCAUGUGGUUUAAUUCGAUGAUACGCGAGGAACCUUACCAGGGCUUAAAUGUAGUGUGACAGGGGUGGAAACACCUUUUUUCUUCGGACACAUUACAAGGUGCUGCAUGGUUGUCGUCAGCUCGUGCCGUGAGGUGUCAGGUUAAGUCCUAUAACGAGCGCAACCCCUGUUGUUAGUUGCCAACGAGUAAUGUCGGGAACUCUAACAAGACUGCCGGUGCAAACCGUGAGGAAGGUGGGGAUGACGUCAAAUCAUCACGGCCCUUACGUCCUGGGCUACACACGUGCUACAAUGGCCGGUACAAUGAGCAGCCACCCCGUGAGGGGGAGCGAAUCUAUAAAACCGGUCACAGUUCGGAUCGGAGUCUGCAACUCGACU
rnacentral:rRNA from 1 species